GACGAACGCUGGCGGCGUGCUUAACACAUGCAAGUCGAACGGAAAGGCCCUGCUUGCAGGGUACUCGAGUGGUGAACGGGUGAGUAACACGUGGGUGAUCUGCCCUGCACUUCGGGAUAAGCCUGGGAAACUGGGUCUAAUACCGGAUAGGAGCCAUUUUUAGUGUGAUGGUUGGAAAGUUUUUUCGGUGUAGGAUGAGCUCGCGGCCUAUCAGCUUGUUGGUGGGGUAAUGGCCUACCAAGGCGGCGACGGGUAGCCGGCCUGAGAGGGUGGACGGCCACAUUGGGACUGGGAUACGGCCCAGACUCCUACGGGAGGCAGCAGUGGGGAAUAUUGCACAAUGGGCGCAAGCCUGAUGCAGCGACGCCGCGUGGGGGAUGACGGCCUUCGGGUUGUAAACUCCUUUCGCUAGGGACGAAGCUUUUUGUGACGGUACCUAGAUAAGAAGCACCGGCUAACUACGUG
rnacentral:rRNA from 1 species